rnacentral:rRNA from 1 species
UCGGGGAGGUGACUGCGGAGGUCAUUAUCGAGUUUUUGAAGAGGUUGUAGCUGGCCUUUUAAUGAGGGCAUGUGCACGCCUUGCUCAAUUCCAACUCUAUAUAACACCUGUGCACACACUGUAGGUUGGCAUGAUAUACGAAAGUAUAUUAUAUGCCCUCCUAUGUUUUAUAUAACAAACUCUUAUUGUAUCUGAAUGUAUUUUGCAUCUUUUGCAUUUAAAUAUAACUUUCAGCAACGGAUCUCUUGGCUCUCGCAUCGAUGAAGAACGCAGCGAAAUGUGAUAAGUAAUGUGAAUUGCAGAAUUCAGUGAAUCAUCGAAUCUUUGAACGCACCUUGCGCCCUCUGGUAUUCCGGAGGGCAUGCCCGUUUGAGUGUCAUUGUAUUCUCAAACCCCUUCAUUUUUGUAGUGGAGUGGGCUUUGGAUUUGGAGGUUUAUUGCAGGUUUACAAUCUGCUCCUCUUGAAUGCAUUAGCUAGAAAAUGUAACUGGCUUCAGUGUGAUAAUUAUCUGCGCUGUGGUCUGUUUAGCAUUUAUUUCUGCUUCUAACUGUGUUCUUUAAUGGAUACAAAUACUUUUGACAUCUGACCUCAAAUCGGGUAGGACUACCCGCUGAACUUAAGCAUAUCAAUAAGCGGAGAAAA